GGAUAGAGGCUGGGAGCUCCAUGGCCUGGACUCCUCUGCUGCUCGUUCGCCUCUGUCACUGCACAGGGGCCCUCUCCCAGGCUGUGCUGACGCAGCCGCCCUCCCUCUCUGCCUCUCCUGGACCAUCAGCCAGGCUCCCCUGCACCCUGAGCAGUGGCUCCAGUGUUGGCAGCUACCACAUAUCCUGGUACCAGCGGAAGCCUGGGAGCCCUCCCUGGUACCUCCUGAGGUUCCACUUUGCCUCUAGUAAGGACCAGGGCUCGAGGGUCCCCAGCUGCUUCUCUGGGGACAAAGAUGCCUUGGCCAAUGUGGGGCUUCUGCUCAUCUCUGGGCUGCAGCCCGAGGAUGAGGCUGACUGGGACUGCUUUGUGCUCCCGCCCUGGACCCUGACACCUCCAGGAUGCUGGGUGUCUCCCUUUCUCUUCAGCUUCAACUCUGAGCAGCUCCUCCUGUCCAGCUGA